UGACAGAACAUCACAAAAAGAGUGGUGUAAAAACAUAAAUAAAAAGAAACAAAUCUUCUUCUCUGCUGACAUUUGAUUUAAUUGUGCACCCCCUGACACCUUAAAAUUUGAACACAACUGACAGAAUUCAUUUAUUCAUUCAUUCAUUUGUUGGAUUUGAAAUGCCAGAUAAUAGGAUUGGAAAACGUGAGUGAAAAAAAAGUGGGAUGCUUUCGUCUUCUGGAAGCAGCAGGGAUCCUUGUUAGUUGCAACCUGUGCCACAGUGCUACAGCCAUGACAGUAGGCGUCUUUGUGUUACCAUGGCAAUGACAUCUUCCGUUUUCCGGUGAGGCGACAGGGCGUCCCAUUCCUGAGGAUCGUAUUUAUACCCUUCCCCUUCAAUAAUAGGUGCCCUCCACAGCUGCGAGUGUGACUUCUUUUGGAGUGACACUCGGUAGUGGAGGGGGAGUGUGUAGGGGGCGGUUUGGGAUUCAGCCCAUUUCUCUCAGUUGCUGGCUCAUCGUCUUGGACUCACUUUGUUUCUGUCUCUGUUCCCUCCUUCCCCCUGGACUACAUUGGCUCACAGGAUUACUCUGCUUCCACCGUUUAAGAAUUUGCACUUUUGGACUCAGUGAUUUUUGUUUGGACUUCAGUUAGUUUGCCAUCAGCCAUAGUUUCUUGAGUAGGGAAAAUAGCAGUUCCUCCUUAAGGUCAGAGAUUGCAGCAUCUGAGCGCCUCUUCAAAAGAAGACGUAGUUGAUGAAGAUGUUCUCCAGCAGGACCAAAAAGACCACCACCAAGCAGCCUUGAGAUCUUAGGCAGCGUCUCCCUCAGGUCCCUCUCUAUCUCCCCACACAUCCACCAACCACUGGAACACAUCUCCAAAGUUCUGCUGAAGCUCAGCUUCCUCUCACAAGAAGUGCCGCCAGAUGAAGGAGCCUUUUGAGAUGCAGCUGGUAUCGUGAUUGGACGGUACUUUGGUCUGAUCCAAUCCAGCUUCAGCUCCAGAGAAGGCAGGCGGGACGAGUCAAUGGAGGCCGGGUGGACGAAGGCAUGCAGCUGAGUACAAUCCAGAAAACACCAGAGGAGGAGUGCAGAGGCCCAGGGCCAGAACAAACAGAGUAGCACAGUAUGUCUCUGAGAAAACAUCAUAGUAUAGCCUUUGGUAUGAAAAACACCAUCAUAUACAUCGUAUAUUGUACAAAUAACCAGUCAAAGGAAAGAGACAUAUAUUGUAGAAUUGUAGUAAUUGUGGGCUGACUGAUUUACUGAUUAUCAGUGUUUUAUUUUUUACUGAUUUACGGUAAUAAAUACAUUUAUAAAUGGCGCUA